ensembl:lncRNA
GGUUCAACCAAGGAAGUGGACCCACCGGCCCUUCUACACCCCCCCCCCCCUCCUACUAGGGAACGUCUCCAAACUAUCCGUCUCGGAACACCGGGCUUGAGAAUAUUGUCCUUGUAACAUCCUGCCUCGCUGAGGCAGCACGGCGGGUCGUGAACCGUUCAGAUUGGACGUGUGGAUGAGCCUCUGUCUCGCUGGGGGGUCUGUGGUCUCUUUACCUGUGUCCGUCAUGGCUCCCCCACCUUAGUUGAUGGAGAAAGUGACGUUCCACCCCAGACAGUAAAAAAAUGUAACUUUUAAUUUUGGCUUUUAUUUAAGGCGCCUCACACGGCCGGCGUCGCUGUUUUCCUCUUUGUACAUAAAUGAAUCAUAUUUUAUUUUGCUUUUAUUGUGAUUUUUUUUUUUGUUCUCCAGAAGUGAUCUUGUCGUGAAUUCCUGUUCGCAUGUGACGUAUUUCUGGUGUCCGUGUGUUUAUACCAGCUGAUGCUGAACACUGCGCUGGAAUCAUUAAAGGGACGUUUCACUUCGCUUUGACGUGUUGUGAAGUCGAUGUUCGUUUCCUGUACACACAAGCCCCGCCUCCUGCCAGGAGUCAUGGGCCCCUUCUCGAUAAACAUUGGUCAUGGAAAAGUCAUGUUAGGUCAAAUAUUUUAAAGAAAAAUUCGAUAUGUAAUGUCAGUCAUUUCUAUGGAUGUCAUGGAAAAGUGAAAUCUUGCAACAUAAAAUAUUUUGAAUAGAAAGUCAAUGUAAGGUGGAAAAUGCAUGGACGAAGUCAAAUUAGGUAAAAAAAGUCCAAAUACUUAUUGUUAAUGUCAUGGGGGAAAAAAGUCAAACUUUAGGUACUUUUAGAAAUCUGAAAUAUUUUUUAAAAGUCAAACUACGUAAGGUGAUUUAAAAAGAAAACUGUAAUAUGGAGAAGAAACGGUCAAAUAUUAAGUUGUAAAAAUGUCAUGGGACGAACAUUUUGUCAAUUGUUUUAGAAAGUUAAAAUAUGUCAUGGAAAAUAUUAGGUCAAAGAUUAUUGGGUCAAACUAAGGUAUAAAUGACAAUGUAUUAAGGGGAAUGAUGUUUUGAAAAAAUAUGUAAAAAUUUAGUAAAAUGUUUUUUAAAAAGUCCAAAUAUGUAAUAUGUGUUUUAUUGAACAUUCAAAAUACGUUCUGUCUAAAGUAAUUGAAAAAAAUAUUGGGUAAAUUGAAAAACAAAUGUAAUAAUUUCAUGUCCAAAAUAGUUUAAACAAAAGUCAUAGUGUAGUAUAUCAAAAACAAGUCAUAGUUUAGUUGGUCAAAAAAGUCAUAGUGUGUUUUAUGUGAAUUCACAGGACAGCUGGUGAGUGGGACAGACGGGAUCCGGGUUACGACAGCAACGCAGCGUCGUGGUGGGGUUAAAGGUCAGGUGGUUGGAACGUGUGAUUAAAGGUGUGCAGCCAAAUAAGAGUUUCUAACUCUGUUCAUCCUCUGGGAAAUGAUCAUGAAUCAUUUCUUUAAAAAUGUACAAUGUGGUUAAAGCUAAAAAGAAAAGAAAAGUCAUAAUACAGUAUGUCAAAAAAAGUAAUUUUACAAUAAUUCUAAAAAAGUCCUGAAAAAGUCAUAAUGUAUUACAUAAUAUAUUCUAUUACUCUUCAGGACAAAAAACAACAAAAGAAGUAAACCCAGAUGUUUAAAAGAUGAAUAUUUCACAUGCAGGAAAUGAGGUGUCGUGCAGUUCCCCUCUGGUCCUCUGGGUGGCGCUGUGGCUCCUCCCCCUGCGCUCUGUGACGACACGCGGACUGUUUCCAUCUCUGGGAAGAGCGACAGUGUUUUAAUGAGUCCUGCCUUACAUAUUCACAUUAUUCAUUCUACUGCAGGAGGAGGCUUCUUCUUCUCCGUGGAGUAAAAUACUUUAGAUAAGCAUUAUUGUGUAAUGAUCCAUGUAAACAAAUCAGAUGUUUGCUGGUAAAAUAUAAAACAGAACAAAUAAACAAUCACUUGAAGAAAAAUAGUUUGAAGGAACAAAUUCGAGGAUAAAACCUGCAGUCUUGUAUCUUCUUCAUCAUCUCCUGAACCUUCCUCAUAUCAUACAAAUGAACAAACACCAAACAAGCUCUUCUGCUGCCACACAAAACAGUUAAUAACAAUAACAAUAACCUUCCUUCACUUCUGUUCCCUGCAGACUGAGACAUAAACUCAUGUUUACAAUGUUUACUGAGGGAAUAAAUCCAGAGAGAAGUAGAGUCAUUUCCUCAUAGACGUCUAUGGGAGCAGAGGAGUCGCCCCCUGCUGGUCACUACAGAGAAGUAGAGUCAUUUCCUCAUAGACGUCUAUGGGAGCAGAGGAGUCACCCCCUGCUGGUCACUACAGAGAAGUAGAGUCAUUUCCUCAUAGACGUCUAUGGGAGCAGAGGAGUCGCCCCCUGCUGGUCACUACAGAGAAGUAGAGUCAUUUCCUCAUAGACGUCUAUGGGAGCAGAGGAGUCGCCCCCUGCUGGUCACUACAGAGAAGUAGAGUCAUUUCCUCAUAGACGUCUAUGGGAGCAGAGGAGUCGCCCC